rnacentral:tRNA from 1 species
GCCUGGGUGGCUCAGUCGGUUAAGUGUCUGACUUCGGCUCAGGUCAUGAUCUUGUGGUUCAUGGGUUCGAGCCCCGCAUCAGGCU